rnacentral:rRNA from 1 species
UACGAAGGGGGCUAGCGUUGUUCGGAAUUACUGGGCGUAAAGGGCGCGUAGGCGGUGCUCUAAGUCAGGCGUGAAAGCCCCGGGCUCAACCUGGGAAUUGCGCUUGAUACUGGGGCGCUUGAGUUCGGGAGAGGCGGGUGGAAUUCCCAGUGUAGAGGUGAAAUUCGUAGAUAUUGGGAAGAACACCGGUGGCGAAGGCGGCCCGCUGGACCGAUACUGACGCUGAGGCGCGAAAGCGUGGGGAG